GACGAACGCUGGCGGCGUGCUUAACACAUGCAAGUCGAACGGAAAGGCCCUGCUUUUGUGGGGUGCUCGAGUGGCGAACGGGUGAGUAACACGUGAGUAACCUGCCCUUGACUUUGGGAUAACUUCAGGAAACUGGGGCUAAUACCGGAUAGGAGCUCCUGCUGCAUGGUGGGGGUUGGAAAGUUUCGGCGGUUGGGGAUGGACUAGCGGCUUAUCAGCUUGUUGGUGUGGUAGUGGCUUACCAAGGCUUUGACGGGUAGCCGGCCUGAGAGGGUGACCGGCCACAUUGGGACUGAGAUACGGCCCAGACUCCUACGGGAGGCAGCAGUGGGGAAUAUUGCACAAUGGGCGGAAGCCUGAUGCAGCAACGCCGCGUGCGGGAUGACGGCCUUCGGGUUGUAAACCGCUUUCGCCUGUGACGAAGCGUGAGUGACGGUAAUGGGUAAAGAAGCACCGGCUAACUACGUG
rnacentral:rRNA from 1 species